rnacentral:rRNA from 1 species
UACGUAGGUGGCGAGCGUUGUCCGGAUUUACUGGGCGUAAAGGGAGCAUAGGCGGACUUUUAAGUGAGAUGUGAAAUACCCGGGCUCAACUUGGGUGCUGCAUUUCAAACUGGAAGUCUAGAGUGCAGGAGAGGAGAAUGGAAUUCCUAGUGUAGCGGUGAAAUGCGUAGAGAUUAGGAAGAACACCAGUGGCGAAGGCGAUUCUCUGGACUGUAACUGACGCUGAGGCUCGAAAGCGUGGGGAGCAAACAGGAUUAGAUACCCCCGUA